rnacentral:tRNA from 1 species
GGGCUUGUGGUGAAAACGGAAUCAUGUCCGCCUUGCAAGCGGGAGUUCGGGGUUCGAUCCCCCGCGGGUCCA